AGAGUUUGAUCCUGGCUCAGAGUGAACGCUGGCGGCGUGGAUUAGGCAUGCAAGUCGAAUGAUACCGCAAGGUAUAGUGGCAAAAGGGCGAGUAACACGUGAGUAAUCUACCUUCGUGUGGGGAACAACCUUGGGAAACCGAGGCUAAAACCGCAUAAGACCACAGUCUGGCAUCAGACAGUGAUCAAAUGGGGGGACCGCAAGGCCUCUAGCAUGAAGAUGAGCUCGCGUCCUAUCAGCUUGUUGGCGGGGUAAUGGCCCACCAAGGCUUUUGACGGGUAGCUGGACUGAGAGGUUGGUCAGCCGCAUUGGGACUGAGACACUGCCCAGACUCCUACGGGAGGCUGCAGUCGAGGAUAUUUAGCAAUGCCCGAAAGGGUGACUAUGCGACGCCGCGUGUGCGAUGAAGGUCUUCGGAUCGUAAAGCACUGUCAGCUGGGAGGAAUCUCGGGGGUUCGAAUAGAGCCGCCGGGUGACAGUACCAGCAGAGGAAGCCACGGCUAACUCCGUGCCAGCAGCCGCGGUAAUACGGAGGUGGCAGGCGUUACUCGGAUUGAUUGGGUGUAAAGGGUUUGUAGGCGGUGCGCUAAGUCGAACGUGAAAUCCCUUGGCUUAACCAAGGAACUGCGCUCGAAACUGGCGUGCUUGAGUGAUGGAGAGGAAAGCGGAAUUCCCGGUGUAACAGUGAAAUGUGUAGAUAUCGGGAGGAACACCAGUGGCGAAGGCGGCUUUCUGGACAUCUACUGACGCUGAAAAACGAGAGCAUGGGGAGCAAACAGGAUUAGAUACCCUGGUAGUC
rnacentral:rRNA from 1 species